UGGAUCUCUGAAUUGGAACAAAAGAUC
rnacentral:piRNA from 1 species